rnacentral:tRNA from 1 species
GGCCGAGUAGCUCAGUUGGUAGAGCGGGGGAUUGAAAAUCCCCGUGUCGGCGGUUCGAUUCCGUCCUCGGCCACCA